rnacentral:rRNA from 1 species
UGGGGAAUCUUGGACAAUGGGCGCAAGCCUGAUCCAGCCAUGCCGCGUGGAUGAUGAAGGCCUUAGGGUUGUAAAAUCCUUUCGCCGAGGACGAUAAUGACGGUACUCGGAGAAGAAGCUCCGGCUAACUUCGUGCCAGCAGCCGCGGUAAUACGAAGGGGGCUAGCGUUGUUCGGAAUCACUGGGCGUAAAGCGCACGUAGGCGGAUUUGUUAGUCAGGGGUGAAAUCCCGGGGCUCAACCUCGGAACUGCCUCUGAUACUGCAAAUCUCGAGUCCGAUAGAGGUGAGUGGAAUUCCUAGUGUAGAGGUGAAAUUCGUAGAUAUUAGGAAGAACACCAGUGGCGAAGGCGGCUCACUGGAUCGGUACUGACGCUGAGGUGCGAAAGCGUGGGGAGCAAACAGGAUUAGAUACCCUUGUAGUCCCUGAGCGGGCUGGCAAGGCGCAU